UGAUGUUUCUGGGUUCACAUGUGAUACGUGGAACAGUGGCAGCCUUCAGCCUUUCUGGAAUAAUGAAGAGACAAGCCCAAGAACAAAGCCAACAUGAUGAGGAUGGCAGGACAGAAAGACGGGGAGAGGCUAAUCCUUAUUGAAGUCAGUCAUUGGCUGAGCUAUCCAUGGAUACUACCUCCAGACUUCCUUUGAUGCCUUACUGCCUAAACUACAUUCAGAGUUUGACUCUUUUUGUUGACACACCUUUGGGCACCAGAAGAGAGAAAUCACUGUUUCCUUGGACGGCCCUAAGAUGUGAUGAUG
rnacentral:lncRNA from 10 species